rnacentral:rRNA from 1 species
UACGUAGGGUGCAAGCGUUGUCCGGAUUUAUUGGGCGUAAAGAGCUCGUAGGCGGUUUGUCGCGUCGGAUGUGAAAACCUAUGGCUUAACCAUGGGCCUGCAUUCGAUACGGGCAGACUAGAGUUCGGUAGGGGAGACUGGAACUCCUGGUGUAGCGGUGAAAUGCGCAGAUAUCAGGAAGAACACCGGUGGCGAAGGCGGGUCUCUGGGCCGAUACUGACGCUGAGGAGCGAAAGCGUGGGGAGCAAACAGG